CGACAUCGCCGACAUCGCCGUCGACGUCGUCUCCCUCCUCACCGACCUCACCGACACCGACGUCCUCGGCGACCACGACGACCCCGCGCACGCCCUCGUCGCCGCCCUUGUCGACAACAACGCCCUCGAGCUUCUCGCCCGCCUUUCGGAGGCCGACCCCGACGAGAUUCUUCUCCCUCGCCGGUGACGAAGAAGAGGGAAGAGGAAGAGGAAGAGGAAGAAAGAAGAAGGAAGAAGAAGGGAAAAGAGGAAGAGGGAAGAGGAAAAGUAAGAGGGUUCGUCGUUGCCGCCGCCGUCGCCGCCGCCGCCGCAUCUCCUCGCCGGCGACGAAGAAGAAGGAAGAGGAAGAGGAGGAAGAGGAAGAAGGGUAAAUACGUCAAUUUACACUAUAAUUAACCAUGGUUAAGUAUUUUAACCGUGGUUAACGAAAAAUUUCUAACAGAUCUGGACGGCAGGGACAUAUCUGCAUAACUUAGGACUUUUGCAGGGACAACUUAUGGAGUUUCCGUUUUGCAGGGAUAUUUCCGCAAUUCACUAUAUUUGCAGGGACCUGUAUGCAAAUAACCCAA
rnacentral:lncRNA from 1 species